GACGAACGCUGGCGGCGUGCUUAACACAUGCAAGUCGAACGGGCCCGCCCCUGUUUUUGGGGGUGGGUUGAGUGGCGAACGGGUGAGUAUCCCGUGAGUAACCUGCCCUCUGCUCCUGGAUAACUGCUUGAAAGGGCGGCUAAUACGGGGUGUGCCGGCUGGUCCGCAUGGGCCUGGUCGGGAUAGUUUCAUCUUCGGGUGUUUCGGUGGGGGAUGGGCUCGCGGCCUAUCAGCUUGUUGGUGGGGUGAUGGCCCACCAAGGCGGUGACGGGUAGCCGGCCUGAGAGGGUGGGCGGCCACACUGGGACUGAGACACGGCCCAGACUCCUGCGGGAGGCAGCAGUGGGGGGUAUUGCACAAGGGGCGGAAGCCUGAUGCAGCGACGUCGCGUGAGGGAUGGAGGCCGUCGGGUUGGGAACCUCUUUCUCCGGUGGUGAAGGCCCUGUCCGUUGCGGCGGGGUUGACGGUAGCCGGGUAUGAAGCGCCGGCUAACUACGUG
rnacentral:rRNA from 1 species